rnacentral:lncRNA from 1 species
GGUUCAAAUGUUUUCACUUUCAUUUUCAUUACUUUAAAUGUGACACCAUUAUUUUGAAGGGAAAAUCUAGGAUUGCAUCAUUGUCGGCAAAACGGAGGCUAGCCAGUAAUAGAGUUACAGGUCUCUAGUCACAUCUUCAGAAAGGGAAGCUUUUAACAAAAUGUUAAAUGAAAAUAAUUUUUGAAAGAUUAUUGGAGAAAAAGUGACAAAGAAGAGGACUGGCAUUACCACUGUCUAUAUUUCGGCUUGCGUGGAAGAGGAAGAAGAGCCGACUAUUGACACAACAAGACACAGAGAGGAGGAGGAGGGAGAGAAGUGGGCAACUGCCUCCAAGAUGAGUCUGUCUGUGGAACAUGUGACCGGCAACAAAUCUAAGAGCCAAAACCACCUGGAGAAGGUACACUCCCCUGUACCCAGCUGUCUGUCCAUGAAGAGUGACCACUCCAUGGAACAGCCAAUAAAGUUUGGAGAGGGAGGCAUUUCUACUGAACAAGGACUGAUCCAUCAGGAGAGAACAGACCCCCCUGUACCCAGCUGUCUGUCCAUGAAAAGUGACCACUCUAUGGGACAGCCAAUAAAGUUCAGAAAGGGAGACAUUUCUACUGAACAAGGGUAAGGAGAGUCAUUUUGUCUAUACAGUGUGGCCAACUAGGACUCACAUUUGUGGUGCUGAUGGGGAACGUUUUGGGGGAGGAGUUGCCUGUCACUCUGCUCUGAUUGGCCACCGGGUUAGUGAGAGCAAGACCUGAACUGGUGCGUCAGAGAGGGACACACUGUGAUCAAGUUCUGUCAAGUUAGGUAGCUAGUAACCCUAAAGCUAGUUAGCCUUUUUGACAAAUCAACUUAAACUAUUGUCUCCUAAUUUGUCUCUGAGCUUGUAUCUCCUGUUAUCAGGGAUGUAACAUCGUCAUCACGCGAAAUAAGCAGUUACUCAAUGUAUGUCUCCAUUGUGUUGAAGACUGAUCCAUCAGAAGAGAACAGACUCCCCUGUACCCAGCUGUCUGUCCAUGAAGACUGACCACUCUAUGGGACAGCCAAUAAAGUUUGGAGAGGGAGGCAUUUCUACUGAACAAGGGUAAGAAGUGAUAUAUCCUGGUCUCUUCCUUGUCUUCACUGUAUCAUGUUUGACUACAUAGUGGAGC